AAAGAUGGCUUUGGCUAUCACUCUGGGAUGGACCUGCGGUGCAUUAGCUAGUUGGUAAGGUAACGGCUUACCAAGGCGAUGAUGCAUAGCCGAGUUGAGAGACUGAUCGGCCACAAUGGAACUGAGACACGGUCCAUACUCCUACGGGAGGCAGCAGUAGGGAAUCUUCCACAAUGGGCGCAAGCCUGAUGGAGCAACACCGCGUGAGUGAAGAAGGGUUUCGGCUCGUAAAGCUCUGUUGUUGGAGAAGAACGUGCGUGAGAGUAACUGUUCACGCAGUGACGGUAUCCAACCAGAAAGUCACGGCUAACUACGUGCCAGCAGCCGCGGUAAUACGUAGGUGGCAAGCGUUAUCCGGAUUUAUUGGGCGUAAAGCGAGCGCAGGCGGUUGCUUAGGUCUGAUGUGAAAGCCUUCGGCUUAACCGAAGAAGUGCAUCGGAAACCGGGCGACUUGAGUGCAGAAGAGGACAGUGGAACUCCAUGUGUAGCGGUGGAAUGCGUAGAUAUAUGGAAGAACACCAGUGGCGAAGGCGGCUGUCUGGUCUGCAACUGACGCUGAGGCUCGAAAGCAUGGGUAGCGAACAGGAUUAGAUACCCUGGUAGUCCAUGCCGUAAACGAUGAGUGCUAGGUGUUGGAGGGUUUCCGCCCUUCAGUGCCGG
rnacentral:rRNA from 1 species